UACGUAGGGGGCAAGCGUUGUCCGGAUUUAUUGGGCGUAAAGAGCGUGUAGGCGGCCAGGUAGGUCUGCUGUGAAAACUCGAGGCUUAACCUCGAGCUGUCGGCGGAAACCAUCUGGCUAGAGUCCGGAAGAGGAGAAUGGAAUUCCCGGUGUAGCGGUGGAAAUGCGCAGAUAUCGGGAAGAACACCCGUGGCGAAGGCGGUUCUCUGGGACGGUACUGACGCUGAGACGCGAAAGCGUGGGGAGCGAACAGG
rnacentral:rRNA from 1 species